AUUGGAAAUAGUUAAGUCAAUAUUUUCAGUUUGAAUGAUAUUAUAGUGAUGUCUAAAUGGUAGAAGCUUCCAAUCUCUCAGCCCCAAGGUUGUAACAGGGCUGCCACCUGUGGCUGUGCAGUUUGUGGACUGAACAAAGGAAGCUCGACUGGGUGUUAAUGAUGCUGAAAUCCAAUGAUGCACUCUGGCACAGAGCUCGAUGAAAGAACUGAUGCUAUCUACACGUGAUGGGUAAAUUACAAAAAUGUUAAAUGCAUUAGUAAAGAUUUAGUAAUGCAUUUAACUGGAGUGUCCAGACCCUUAAUCACGUGCUCUUCCCAUUGUGCCCGUAAAAGGUGGAUUUAAGUGAUGGAACUCUGUAGGCUGAGUUCUGGAACAGAAAGCAGUGUGUGGGGCUGGGGCUGGUGGAGGAGGGGUGGGCAUUUGGAAGAAAUUAAACUUCAAACUGUAAAUUUGCAGUUAACAGGUAUAAUGUUAACUAUACCUGAAAGCCAUACAAACAAAAAUGGAAAACAGCAAGGAAUGUUCUUAAAACCCAGGGAGAGAACAGAGGACUCUCAGAACAUUUUAUGUAGCAAGUAUCUUAAGAAGGAGGCCCUGCCAAGGUGAGGCGGGAAAAGUCAGAAAAGGAUAGUCACGGAGACAGUCUCACUGGGAAAAGGAGGGCCAGACGUUAAAAGCAAUACAUGCAUGUAACAAUGUGAAUUAUCCUUCCAGGAUAUUAUAAGGAGCAAUCAUAUUGAACCCGGCUCAGCGGAUGGUAACGUAUUUGUUUUCAUAGGCCAAAAAACCCUUAAGAUAGCUUCAUGGUUAUGAAUACAAUAUGCCCUUAAACAUCCUGGAGCGUGGAAGGCACCACAGUAAUACAUAACUCCCUUGGAAACAGAAGCGGGUUAGCCUUUCAGCUGGUGUAUAAAUUCAGUUCAGCGCGGACAAAGACAGGCUUAGUUAAAUACAACUUUUGAUUAAUUGUGAGUUGAGUAUCUUAACCAGAUUUAUCAGAAAGCUGUGCCUUUAUUCAAUUUCACUAUGCCCUUUCUUCACAGCAUUUAUCAUUCUGUCCAUCUGUCUGUUCACCCUCUCAUCUGUCCAUCUCCCGUCCUUCCACGCGCCCGUUUUAGCCUCCACCUAUCUUCCAGGUCAUCCAUCCUUCAAUCCAUCCCUUCAUCCAGCCAGCCGUCCUUCUAUCCAUCCAUCUACCCAUCCAAUAAUCCCUUUGUUCUUGCUCCUCAGCUAAGUUAAUCACCUGUGGAGAAGGAGGGACGAAUACACAGCACCGGAAAUCAAGAUGCAUUUAGGUGUGCGAUUUCAGGCAAGUUGGGAGAUGCAUAAUUACAUCAUUUAUUAUAGUUCUGGUAGCCAGUUAGUUUAUCAUGUUGCGGCUCAGAACUAAAGCUAAUCGGCUGUAAUGAUCAAGCUUAAUUUAAUAACGUUUUCUGUUGGCCAUUUGCAUUAUUUGUAUACAGUUAUGGAAACCGCCAUUUCAGUUUCUGAAAGUACAUUAAAUCCAUCCUAGCUGUCCCGAUGAAAGCCUUCUAUUAUUCAUUUUAGAGAACUUCUACUCACUUCUGCGCUAUUUGAGGGACAUACUUGUUUUCAUUAUUAAGCUUCAUGGACAGAAACACUUUAUCUUUUUGUCUAGUGCUUUACUGUUCAGAACACUCUUUUUUAGAUCCAUCAUCCUUGAUUCUCAAUUAAAAGCCAAACUCAAUAUUUGCGUAUGUUUUGCUGCAAAUCUCAUUUCAUCUCAGAUGAUGAUGAAGUGGUUGUUGUUCUCAUUAUUCCUGCCUCAGGAUGUGGUGGACCACCAUCUGCAGAUGCCGUGUUUAUCCAUCACAGAGAGGAAAACAGGCGUCUGAAAGUAGCUGGUGAUCAAGAAUAGUACAGGAAGCUUGCUUUUGGAGGGGCCAUGUGUCACUCAUCUGUGAAAAAGUCUGAAUCGAAAAGCGCAAAAAAAAGAUAAGCCUGGCCCACUGAGGGGUCUGCCCCACACUAGGAGAGCAAAGCUGGACUCUAGCUCAAAAUCAGCUUCAUGCAGAAGUGGCCUGACUCCUCAGAUGGGCUAAGGAGGAGCACAGCUGUUGAGGAAAUGCAGAUAAAGCAGUUCCUACCUCUCUGUUGGGACCAAUAAAUUAACACUGGAAGAGCUUUUAGGUAAGUGCCUGACUUUCAUU